GUAUAUGGUCUGCGUGCACACACACACACACACACACACACACACACACACACACAGAGCGGAUUUCUGUCAUGUGGAAGUCAAAGGCCAGCUCUGUGACGUUGGUGCUCUUCAUCCAUCUUUCCGUAGGUUCUCGGGAUCCAACCCAGGUUGUCAGGCCCUGUGGCAAGCGCUUUGCUGGCUGAGCCCUCUUGCCAGACCAACUGUCAGGAAGUUUUAUCAACCAGGGGCUGAAGCCAGCUGCUACCCAUUCCGAAAAACAAUCUCCUGCAUCUUAAUAGGCACCGAGGCAGCCUGCUCCCCUGACAGUUGCAAAUGGCUGUCUUUUAAGGUGGGCGCUUUGGCGGUCUGCUUGCUUCAUGGAAGUGAACCUAACUCAGCCACUCCCGGUUGUGUCGAGGAUUUAACCCAGGGUCUCGCAUUCAUCAGACUACCGGAUGCAGAGUCUAUCUCCCUGACAUCUGCUUUCUGCAUUCAACCUGACCUGGAGCAAAGCUCUAACUGCAUUCAGGCCCAGCCAGUUUCUUACAGGCAACAGCCAGCUCACUCUCAAAACCAAGGAAAUGUUUGAAUCCGGCAGAAGGCCUCUCCUGGACACCUCGAGGCUGUGGCCUUCAUUCAGGCUCCUUGGAGAAGGUGCUAGCUGGUCAUCUAGGUAGCACUCCAAGGGAGCCUCCAUCUUGCUUCUGGCAUUCCAUCAGACCGCAGGGAAGUCAGCCAGGAGGACGAUGGCAUGUUGGCCUUCAGAACUGGAAAGAAGGUUUUUUCUUUUUUUUUUUUUUUUUUGUCCCCUUGGAAAUUCUUGGAUCUUCCAAGCGAGAACCACUACGUUGUGGGUAUGGUAGGCAACCCAGGUUGAAGAUAGAGAGAAAACGUAGAUGCUCAGAAAUCUGUUCCCUCCUCGCUCUGCUUCUAAAGGAUGGCGGUGGCAUUCAUGAAGAGAAAAGGUUCUCUCUUCCUUCAUUGCACAGAGGUGGGGCUGUGACAAUGGCCAUUCCAGAGCUUCUGUCCCAUCUCAGAGCUGGUGCCAUACAGGGACCCGGCCUAGCCUUAUUUGUGGAGUAAGAAUGUCACUGGGGCUGGUCAGAGGGGACAGUGGGAUUGUCCAGAGUCAUGGACAUAUAACUACUGCAUUUGAGCAUAGUACAUGUGAAUACCACCUCCCAUGUGUACACAUGCAUGCAGAAUAAACAAAAAUAUAAUGAAAAUUAAAAGGAAAAAGGGAAAGGGCUACUUCUGCCUUAAGCAACGUGUC